UCGAGAAUUUUUCUCAAUGGGGGAAACCCUGAAGGAGCGACGCCGCGUGGAGGAUGAAGGUCUUCGGAUUGUAAACUCCUGUCAUUGGUGAACAAGGCCCUCGGAGUAACUGCCGUUGGGUUUGAUAGUAGCCGAAGAGGAAGGGACGGCUAACUCUGUGCCAGCAGCCGCGGUAAUACAGAGGUCCCAAGCGUUGUUCGGAUUCAUUGGGCGUAAAGGGUGCGUAGGCGGCGAAGCAAGUCUGGUGUGAAAUCCCGGGGCUCAACCCCGGAACUGCACUGGAUACUGCUUUGCUAGAGCACUGGAGAGGGAACUGGAAUUUACGGUGUAGCAGUGAAAUGCGUAGAUAUCGUAAGGAAGACCAGUGGCGAAGGCGAGUUCCUGGACAGUUGCUGACGCUGAGGCACGAAGGCCAGGGGAGCAAACGGG
rnacentral:rRNA from 1 species